GAGUAGAUCCAGAACAAACCAGACCCUUUCCCUCAAUGUAAAAGAAAAUGAUGGAAGAGAGAAUGGGGGAGGAGACRGGAAAGGAGGAGCACAGAGAAUAAAUGAGGAGUCAUUUUGUAAGCAGUGCAUUCACCCUGAGGUAUCUUACUCAGAAAGAACAGGAUUCUAUGCCCAACAGGAGAGUUGCAGAGUAAGGUGACACAUAGAUCCAACCAGGAGAUUGGGUCUGGGUCCAAUCCCUCAAGAAAAAAGACUGGAAACAGCCACGGUGUGAAGGACCAUACCAGGUGCUACUGGUGACAGCCUUUGCAGUACGAAUAGCGGAAAGAGCCACCUGGGUCCAUAUUACGCACUGCAAGAGGAUGGAGCUGCCACCUCGACCAAAACUCUUUGACUUCCAUGGAGUCUCCAUGACCAACUACUUCACUGGCAACUGGGACAAUGUACAGAACUUCCAGGCCAGACCAGAUGACAUUCUCAUCGCUACCUACCCCCAAA